AAGAAAAAAUUUAAUUAUUUUUAUGUUUUUUUUAUUAUUUAAUAUAAAUAAAUUUGAAUUUAUAGUUUUUUGUAUUGUUUAAAAAUAAAAUAAUUUUUUUGAUAGAUUAAUAGUAUUGUGAAAGAAAAUUGAAAAAAUUUUUUGUUUAUUAAAAAGUAGUAUUUAUUUUAUGUACCUUUUGUAUCAGGGUUUAUUAAAUAAAAAUAAAAGAUUUUAUAUUCUCGAAUUUAAAGGAGCUAAAUUAUAAUGAAAGUUUUUGUGUUAUAACAAUUUUAAAUUUUAAUUUAGUAAUGAAAUGUUAUUCGUCUUUAAAUAUAUCUAGUUUUUUAAGAAAUAAAUUUAAUUUAUAUAUUAAUUAAUUAAUUUUUUAAUUUUUAAAGAAUUUAAUUAUUAAUAUAAAUAUAUCAGGGGAUAAGCUUUGAUUUAUUAAAAUUAUAAUUUAAUAAAAUAUUUAAUUAAUUGUAGAUUUAGAAAUAGUUAUCAAUAAAAAAUUUGUAUUAAUUUAUAAAUUUAUAAAAAAUAUUUGUUUUAAUUUAAUUUUAGUAUUAAAAUGUAAAUUUUAAUUUUUAAAAUUUAGUAAAAAUGAUAAAAUUAGUAUAGUAUAGUUGUUUUAAUAAUAUUUAUAGAAAGAUUAUUUUAAGGAAUUCGGCAAAAAUAAUGUUCACCUGUUUAACAAAAACAUGUCUUUUAGAAUAUAAUUUAAAGUCUAACCUGCCCACUGAAUUUAUUUGAAGGGCCGCGGUAUUUUGACUGUGCAAAGGUAGCAUAAUCAUUAGUCUUUUAAUUGGAGGCUUGUAUGAAUGGUUGGAUGAAACAUUAACUGUCUCAAUUUAAUAAAAAUAGAAUUUAAUUUUUAAGUGAAAAAGCUUAAAUAUAAUUAGAGGACGAGAAGACCCUAUAGAUCUUUAUAAUUUAUUUUUUAUUAUUAAUAUAGAAUGUUAAUUAAUAUUAAUUGAUUGAUUAUUUUAUUGGGGUGAUAGAUAAAUUUAGUAAACUUUAUUUUAUAUCAACAUUUAUUUAUGAAUAUUUGAUCCAUUAUUAAUGAUUAAAAGAUUAAGUUACCUUAGGGAUAACAGCGUAAUUUUUUUAGAGAGUUCUUAUCGAUAAAAAAGUUUGCGACCUCGAUGUUGAAUUAAAGGUAAAUUUUAGGUGUAGAAGUUUAAAGUUUUGGUCUGUUCGACCAUUAAAUCUUUACAUGAUUUGAGUUCAAACCGGCGUGAGCCAGGUUGGUUUCUAUCCUUAAUAAAAUAAAAUAUUUUAGUACGAAAGGACCAAAUAUUUAAAAAAGUUUUUAUUUUUAGAAUAAUAAUAAU
rnacentral:rRNA from 1 species